GACGAACGCUGGCGGCGUGCCUAAUACAUGCAAGUAGAACGCUGAAGGAGGAGCUUGCUUCUCUGGAUGAGUUGCGAACGGGUGAGUAACGCGUAGGUAACCUGCCUGGUAGCGGGGGAUAACUAUUGGAAACGAUAGCUAAUACCGCAUAAUAGUAGAUGUUGCAUGACAUUUGCUUAAAAGGUGCAAUUGCAUCACUACCAGAUGGACCUGCGUUGUUUUAGCUAGUUGGUGAGGUAACGGCUCACCAAGGCAACGAUACAUAGCCGACCUGAGAGGGUGAUCGGCCACACUGGGACUGAGACACGGCCCAGACUCCUACGGGAGGCAGCAGUAGGGAAUCUUCGGCAAUGGACGGAAGUCUGACCGAGCAACGCCGCGUGAGUGAAGAAGGUUUUCGGAUCGUAAAGCUCUGUUGUAAGAGAAGAACGAGUGUGAGAGUGGAAAGUUCACACUGUGACGGUAUCUUACCAGAAAGGGACGGCUAACUACGUG
rnacentral:rRNA from 1 species